UAAGACCUUGCGCCGAUGGAUGAGCCGAAGUCGGAUUAGCUAGUUGGUAGGGUAACGGCCUACCAAGGCGACGAUCCGUAGCUGGUCUGAGAGGACGACCAGCCACACUGGGACUGAGACACGGCCCAGACUCCUACGGGAGGCAGCAGUGGGGAAUAUUGGACAAUGGGGGCAACCCUGAUCCAGCGACGCCGCGUGUGUGAAGAAGGCCUGCGGGUUGUAAAGCACUUUUAGUGGGGAUGAAAAGCUCAGGGCUAACACCUCUGGGUCUUGACCUAACCCACAGAAAAAGCACCGGCUAACUCUGUGCCAGCAGCCGCGGUAAUACAGAGGGUGCAAGCGUUAAUCGGAAUUACUGGGCGUAAAGCGUACGUAGACGGUUGGAUAAGUCGGAUGUGAAAUCCCUGGGCCCAACCUGGGAACU
rnacentral:rRNA from 1 species